rnacentral:lncRNA from 1 species
CUGAUAAGGCUCCUGCCUCCUGAUGUGAGGAGAGCCGGAGCUGCCAGCUCUGGUCUUCAGGAUUUUCUGGGAAGGAAGUUCCCCGGAUCAGAGAUUCUCAAAGCUGAUCCCUGAGCCAGCAUCAUCCGUGACACCUGAGAAAGGAUCAGAAGCCCUGAUGUCCUGGGAAAAGCAGAGGCUGGCCAUACAUGCCUCAGUGGUAGCACACGUGCCUGGAUAUUGGCUCUAACGGAGUUGGAGCCUAGUACCUUAGCAAGUAGUUAUAUGCAAUGCUCACUUUGGGGGACAACAAUGCUUAAUAAGUCACCUUCUGUCUUGUUAGGGUUUUAGCGUUGUGAAGAGACACAUGGUGCUGGAGAUGGAGCUGAGAGUUCUGCAUCUUGACCUACAGGCAGCCAUGAGGAGACUGGCUCAGCACUGGGCAUAUCUGGAGCGUAUAUAUGAGACCUCAAGCCCACCCACGGUGACACUUCCUCCAACAAGGCCAUACUUUCUAAUAGUGCCAUUCCUUAUGAAAGAUGUUUAUACCCAGUGACAGCCACUACCCAGCCACCAGCGCAGGGCCUGAAAGCUGAGCCUACACUGGGAACUAUUUACUGUCAGCUGCUCUCUGUCAGCAGGCUCCGGAGCCACAGGGACUCUAAGGAAGCAAAGAUUGAGAGCCAGCUGAAGAGGAGAGAGAGGCUGCAGAGGAUACCUGAACCGGGGAGCUGGUUGGGUUCCCACAGGGCACUGCGAGGCGUUGCCUGGUGUUGGAGAACGAGCUGGCCCCUGGCUGAUCUUAAACAGCGCGGCUGAGGGCCAUAGCGAGGGUACUGUGUAAGCCAUGAAGCUUUGGGUCAUCGGCACCGCCAGUUCCCUGUGCUUCUAGCUCUGCAUGAAACCAAGGGCCAUAAAGGGGCUGCUGAGGAGAGCCACGGUGAACAGGAGCCAGGUUGAGGGUAACGUGAGGUGGCUAGCAGGAUGAAACUGGAGUCCCAACUGCAGGAGGCCACCCAGAGAGAGCCUCUAAAGAGGGAACUGCAGACACCCUCCCAAUGGCAGAAGCUGCCCCUGGGAGGUGAUCUAGGCGGCAGGAGUCCCUAAGGAGAAGGAGGAACUGCAGCUGAGGGGGCCAUGCAGGACACAGGGAGGACUGGCAAGAGAUCAAGACUGAGCUGGCCAAGACUGUACAUGGAAGAAUCCAACGCCAGCCAGAAGCUCACAGAGGAAGCGCUGUAGGUGAUUGGGCAAAUAGCUUAUCUGUGACUGGAUUCAUUCCAGAGGCAAACUGGGCUUAGCUGAAGGUUCACCUGUAGGGGACAGUGGUGGCAGUAUCACAGAGAGCAUCAAGGCCAUGAAACAAACCAAGCACAUUCCAGAAAAGCGGGCUGAUCAUUUUGACCUUCACACCUGCAGAGACUGUACGAUUAACACGAAGGACUCCCUCAGGGUCUCAUAGACCUAGGCUGGUCCAGGUGGGGACUGUGGCGAUGCCAGGAAAGGAAGAAAAGGUGUGAGAUGGGGAGAAGAUAAGAAGAGGGCUGCAGGAGUGAAGGCUGGGGCUAGCCCCAGCUCCCAAGUAUGCUGGCGACUCCAUGUGUCUGCUUCCUUCUGCUGCUCAGCUGCUGUAGCAAUGACAAUGACAGUUAUGGCUUCGAGAUAUUCUUAGCUGUAAGUCUAAUGUUUCAUCUGGAAUAAAUAUCAAACUUGGAUUAA